UUAUGGCUCAGGAUGAACGCUAGCUACAGGCUUAACACAUGCAAGUCGAGGGGCAGCAUGAGCUUAGCUUGCUAAGCUUGAUGGCGACCGGCGCACGGGUGAGUAACGCGUAUCCAACCUUCCCCUUAGUAGGGCAUAGCCCGGUGAAAAUCGGAUUAAUACCCUAUGUUCUUCACAGCAGACAUCUAACGUGAAGCAAAGGUUCACCGCUAAGGGAUGGGGAUGCGUCUGAUUAGGUAGUAGGCGGGGUAACGGCCCACCUAGCCUUCGAUCAGUAGGGGUUCUGAGAGGAAGGUCCCCCCACAUUGGGAACUGAGACACGGUCCAAACUCCUACGGGAGGCAGCAGUGAGGAAUAUUGGUCAAUGGGCGAGAGCCUGAACCAGCCAAGUAGCGUGCAGGAUGACGGCCCUAUGGGGUUGUAAACUGCUUUUAUAUGGGGAUAAAGUUCACCACGUGUGGUGUUUUGCAGGUACCAUAUGAAUAAGGACCGGCUAAUUCCGUGCCAGCCGCCGC
rnacentral:rRNA from 1 species